GCUGGGAUAGCUCAGGUAGCAGAGCGUUCGCCUGAAGAGCGAUAGGUCGGCAGUGCAAAUCUGCCUCCCAGCACCC
rnacentral:tRNA from 1 species